CACCAUGGAAUUCUGUAUGUUCCUGAAAGUGCAAGCCCGUGCCAGGUAUUCGUCUGUUAUAAACAUGAAUUAUUUUGAUACAAACCCAUUGUUUUAGUAUAAAUUCGAUGUAUAUAUGAAUGAAAUUGAUUUCAUAUUGGAUAAUGUGACGUUCAAUUUGUAAUAAUUAUUGCGAAUUUAGGUCGGUUUUGUUCGUUCCAACAACUCUGCAUUGAAUUUUCAACACUGUGUUGAUAACGUUUACAGACAGACAAUGUGACUGACGUUGCCUUUACCUUGAACGAGUUCUGUUGAAAGAGACAAAACAAAACAAAACGCGUUUGGUAAAGUGUUAAAUUGUAGUUUAUAUACAUGAUGUAUAUUCAACUGUGUGCGUGAUUUACCGAUUUUAUCGGUAACAAACAUCAUAUAUUUUUGAAAAAUCUAAAUAAUUACCUAACAAACGUUGAAGUAACGCUACGCGAUGAGCGUGUGUUCGGCGACGGCUGCAGCGUCUUCACGGCCGGGAUGUAGAGAGUCUCGGAGCUCAAGCGGCCGAGCUAGUACGGCAGAGCAGCACUUCUACAUUAGCAAGGGCGGCCUCAAACCCCUCGACCAAAGGAAGUACAGCACGAUUUCCACGACACGAAAUUCCUCAAGUUCCAACUUGUGUUGCGUCAUUUCCGUACUACUUUCCUGCAUUCUGGUUGGCUAUUCCGAACUAGGACACGAUUUCAUUGGUUGAAGCAGGACCAAUAGUAGCGAAGGGCUCAAAACUAUAUAGCAUAUGUCACUGACAGAUGACUUUUCAAUGAAUCCAUCACUACGUUUUAUUACCUGGGGAAUGAUUUGAAACGUGCUAACAAUGCUAUAUGCUAAUGUUGCCAUACUUUAGAUCGCAUGCUUUAAACUUGAUAUAGCAUCAUAAUUUAUUAUUUUUAUAAAUUAUGUUUCCUUUGAUAAUUACUUUGUGACGAGAGUUAAGCACUUUUCAAACAAAUAAUAAGGUUUCAAAGCGCGAAUGUUUUAAACUGUAUUUUUCAUGAAUGAAAAAGUUGUUAUUAAUAAUGAUUAUUCGUUCUUUUAUUCGAUUGAAUCUUUCAGAACUGAUUACGCAGUGCACAUUUACCAUAUUCGCGACAUUCUUCGUUGUUUCUUCAUUAUCUUAAAUAUUUCAGUAGAUCUAGUAUCAUAUAGAGUAGUUCGUCGGUCAUUAUCUGUAAAGUGUAUUUUAUAUAGCUAUAAAGGUAAUAUAAGAAGUCGUCAUAUAAGAAACACUUUAUAGUACGACUCAAUGAAAUUUGUUAGUAACGAGCCUCUGGCUAAGAGUUUCAUCAAUACAACCUAUUUGUCAACACUGAAAAGGGUAGAUGAAGUAUAAUGAAACAUAUAACGCCUCCAAACAUAUUAUACCGUUAAUAUUAUACUUUUUUGAGUGCUUCGUUUCAUGGUAUAAAAUAUAUCAUUUUA